ensembl:lincRNA 2900052N01Rik RIKEN cDNA 2900052N01 gene
AGCAGCCCAUCUGCAGCAAGUGAGUGGUGCUGGGGUGGUGGGGAGGACCGUCCUGGCCAGCAGGGGCCUCACAGUCUAGUAAUAAGGACACAGCAAUUACAGGAACUUCUAGAGCCAGUUCUCUUCAGGAGCAUGCCAGGCUGAAGCUUUGUCCUAUGGAGAAGCAGAAAAGGUCAGAGGAGGAGAAAGAAAGAGCCCUUCCCGGUCAAGGAGCCAGCCAGGGAGGGAGACAAAAGGAAGGAGGCUCCAUGGAGAUGCAAUGUGAACAACUGACCGUCUGCUCUGACCACCAUGACUUCCCUGCCUGAAACCAUGUCUUCCCCUCCAUGAUGCCAGUUACAAGAUGAAAUAAAUCCCUCCUUCCGUAAAAUGGGUAUUUUUGUCUCAUCAACAAGAAAGUUAAAUUAUGUAAAGCUGGCUCUAGGGAGGUCCUUAGGAUUUGAUGAGGUCGUGAGACUAAGAUCCUGGUGACGGUAGUAGUGGCUUUUGUAGAAGGAAAGGAGGAGGAGGAGAAGGAGAGGAAGAGGAGGAGGAUGAAGAGGAAGAGGAGAGGAAGAGAAGGAGGAGGAUCCAUGCUGUCUCACCACAUUGCCCCCUGGUUAUACUAUGAUGUUUCAGAUGAGUCUUCAUCAGAUGCCAGGCAGAACUGGCACCAUGCUUGGGCUUUCAGCCUCCAGAAAAAUAGCAAAAGAAAUUUCUAGUCUGUUCUCUUUUCCAGAAAAACAAGCAACAACAAUAAAACCCCACGUUUGUUCUAAAGCAAUGGCAGAUAAAGAGAAACCUCUUCUUUUCAUAAUGACAACGGAUAAACACAGAAAGAAUAUGGAGUUCUUUUAAAAAAUAAAAUCACAAAUUUGCCAACAUUCUAAUAAAAGUUAUUAAGAUAAAGGAUCAUCAAAACAUACUAAAUCUAGGAAGGACAGGUAUGAGGAGACACAGAAUUGUCAAGACAAUAUCAACAUUUCUUCUAAAACAGUAACUGGGAGAAAUAAUAACUAGACAAUGCAGAAAGUAGACAACCUCGUUUCUGUGUGAUGGAAAUUAACACCAACAACAAGGACUAUUCUGCUCAUCUGAGCUUGGUACCCAGGGUCACAUCACUUAAUAGUAUUCUCACCCACACCACACAAUCCAAAUCUACCCACGAGGAAUCAUCAAGAAACUCCAGUGAAGCUGAUCGUCUUCAAAGACAUCAAUACAACCAAAGACUGGAAAGGGCAGAGGAAUGGCUCCAGAUCAGCAUCAUGACAGCACAAUCUACAAUCCCAGACUGGAUCCCGCCUCUGAGAAAUUACCAACAGAGCAAAUGAAAUCGGAAUAGAGACUGCAGAUCAGAUGAAAGUCCCGUCUGAAUGGGAGACUGCAGGAUUUAUAUGCUUGAGUGAGACUGGGUCUUGCUCUUGUGAAGUGCGUGUAUAGUAUUAAAGCAUGGAGGGCUGGGUAUCUGUACUAUCUCUCAAAUGAGUUAUAUAAAAAGGUUAUAUAUCAAGGAAUAGAAAGUUAUAAAGCAAACACAGGAAUCAUCAUCAAAAAAGAAGAUAACCUGUGUAGCAAUGAAUGUUUUCUUUUCUUUAAUUUUCUCCCAAACAAGCAUAUCCACACUGACAUUGCAGUACCAAUGAAGACCUGCAUAGGAGGGCCUGAGUCUGCUCAUUGGACCAACUUGUGAGAGGAAAGUAUUCAGGGGCACCUCUGAAGAUAGCUGUAUGAAGAUGAGGAAACCCCACACAUUUCACAAGCAUCUCUAUAAGACUUCUGUUUUCCACUUCUCCAUUUGUCAGACUCGGCCCAUUAAUUGUGGUUCAGUUUUGGUCCAAAGCUUUCUAUCGGACUUCUCUGCUAGCCAAGGAGUACAGUCUUAUCUGAAUCCCAGAGGCACAUGCCCUGAGCAUCCUACCACUUGAAGAUUGCUAGUGAGAUCAGAGGUGAUAUUAGCAAAUGUGAUUUUCCAAUACUGAACCAUGAAAUAUGUCACCGUUUGCAAAAUAAGUGCAGCACAGGUAACCGAUAUUUCCAGGUGAUCAAUUCAUGAUGUAAAAUUCCAUCAAAGAAUAAGACGGAUCAAUGGAUUUUAAUGUAACAGCAUAUUAAAAGGUUUCCAAGCUGUAACUCAAUUUAAGAAACUACCAUUUGUUGAGUGUUGCUAUAAUUUCCAUGAAAGCCCACACUUAACAGAAUGCAAUCAAAGCAAAUACCCCUCACUUUUCUACCUCCUUGUCUGCGUGAGGCCAUGUUGGAUUCGUAUACGCAUAUAAAACAAUAUCACAACAGACUAUCUAAACACCUCUAUAGCCACUGAGCUAAUUUCUAUUAAGACAGACACUAAAGAGAUUUUUGAAACUGGAAAACUCAGCAUCCUGGGCAUUGAGGUGUGCACACCUACAUGGCAGCAGCCAGCACUUGGGGAAUGGAGGCAAAAGGUCCAAGGCCAGCCUUGGGCUAAUAAGGAGAGUUCAACUCUGGCCUAGGUCAUAUACUACCUUGUUUCAAAACAAACAAAAGAACAAAAAAGACAAAGUAAAAUCAGGUUGCUGUUCUUGCUAAUUUUGUUUUGAAAACAAAUAAAAAAAUUAAUCUUGUAUUCACAUGUAAUUUGUUAUUAUAUUUGAAUAAAGUAAUAAAUAGUAAAGU